rnacentral:tRNA from 1 species
GUGGGUGUAGCUCAACUGGUUAGAGCACCAGAUUGUGGAUCUGGGGGUUGGGAGUUCAAGUCUCCUCACUCACC